AGCUCGAUUCAUGUUCACCGUACUCGAAUAGCAAUUCGAGUACCAUUUCAAACCAACCUCGGUUCAACGAGCUCGAAAUGCAGUCAAUUCGAUUCGAGCUCGAUUCAACUAUAUCGUGCUCGAUUAAAAAGACGAGCUCGACGAACUCAAUCUGCUCUUAUCGACCUCAGUUAUUUUUAUCGAGCUCGGUUUGCCACGUAUUCUAUCGAGCACGGUUUGCCUCGCAUUCUAUAGGUAAUCUGGUACCAAGACUUGGGAGGGAGCAUGGGACGAGCGAGAGUGGCCAUGUUUCUGGCAACUUUGUCGAGUUUAGUUCGUGAAUUCGGGACUUUUUAGGAGUAUGUUUUCGGUCGAAUUCGAAAAAAAAGAAGAAGAGUGACAGAAGAAGAGCAAAGAAUGAUUUAUACUGCUAAGGAGAUGAAGGAAAUGACACUAAGUAACUGGAUGGGAUGCUGAGAGCAGCUGCAGGAACAAUUUUUGUUGUCCGGAGUACAGUCCUCUCCAUCUGCAGUUGUCAUCUAUAAAUGGCCCACUUGUAAGGGGCUUGUCUCCAAUGGCAUCUGAAGCUUGUUGUCUCCUGCUCUCCACAAAAUUUGGAAUUCUCCAGCAAAAGGAGACAACCCUUUCCACUUUGGGCUCUAUGGGUUCUAUGUUGCAUUUCUAAAACAGAAAUGGAUUUUAUGGAUAUUAUGAAAUGCACCAGAAAAAGAUUUUCAAUGUAAGAUUUUGAAGCCAGGUACUUGGCACAUUGAAGCCUUCUCUGGGCAUUUGUGUAGAUGUAGGUUGAUGUUCAUUCUACAAUUCAAAAAGAGUUAUUUUUAAGGAAUGCAGCUGAUCGCGUGGCACCAGACACAAGUUAGGACUGCUCGUAGUCCUCGAUUUGGAUAACAGAAGGAUAAGUUUGUCACCUGUUAUUGACGAUUGAAAUGAUAAGAGAAUACAGCAAUACUGCAAUUCAUGCUAAAAAUUACCGAAAAAUACUUCACUUAUGACAAUCGCCUAACACCAAAAUAUCGCAAUGCUGAAUUAUCCUAAUUAAUACAACAUACCGUGGUAAUGAUGCUCCACAUCUCAAGGGGCAUAGAACUGCAGAGUUUCUGCAUAAAGAUGUACGGUGGAAUUGGAGUCUUUCCCUGGUUACGCUCAGUUGGCAUCCUGAACAUGCGAUCCUUUCUUUUGGGCAAGCGUGUGCUGUCAUUUCUUCCCGUGCCGCCACGUGCUGGCAUCCUUCGUUGGGGCACCUCUCUCGUACUUUUGGGCAAUGUCUGAGGUGAUCGUUGGCAUUGCUAUAGUUGCCCUUCCACUGGCAGCCUUGGCUGUUACAUUUAACAGGCAAAUCUCGGGUCGCCUUAUCCAUUGCCACAUUUAACCUCAGCUCUUCUUUUCGGAACGUUGCCCGACACUGGGGACACAACGGUGUGGCUGUCGAUUCUGCCCAAGUUUCCAUGCAAUUUUUGCAGCCAGAGUGCCCACAGGCAAGGGUAACGGGCCUUGACACGAUGCUGUAACUGAAAAGGAAUGUGGCAGUAUAAUAGCACUGGAAAUGAGCGGUAACAAAAACGAUGGCAAAAUAUGACAGCCAGCAAUGAUAUUCAACUCACCAAAUACAGCAUUCCAAAUCCACUGUCCUCAGAAAAGUUAAUUCGUUGGACUUGGAAACCACUUCGGUCUUUUGAUGAGACAUUGUUACGGACUAAAGGAUUUUCGAUCACGGUCUGUCGUAAUAAAGUUUCCUUGUCAGUGUAAGCUGCUCAAAUAACCUCUGAUGACAACGGUGUGAUUUUUAAAGGUCAAUAUUUCCGUUGUGCGGUUAAUAAAUUAAUUUCCUUUGUUUA